rfam:Brachypodium distachyon strain Bd21 chromosome 1, whole genome shotgun sequence.
UAUAUAUUCCCUUCGUUCCAUAAUUUUUGUCUCAAAUUUGCCUAAAAAUGGAUGUAUCUACUCAUAAAAAAUAUUUAGAUACAUGUAAUAAUUCGACAAGAAUUAUGGAACAGAGGGAAUACUAA